AAUGAACGUUGGCGGCAUGGAUUAGGCAUGCUAGUCGAGCGAGAAGUGUAGCAAUACACGGAAAGCGGCGGAAGGGAGAGUAAUACGUGGGAAUCUGCCCUUAGACCUGGGAUAGCAGCGGGAAACUGCUGGUAAUACCAGAUAAUGUCUAUGGACCAAAGGUGUGAUUCCGUCUAGGGAUGAGCCCACGUCCUAUUAGCUAGUUGGUAGGGUAAUGGCCUACCAAGGCGAUGAUGGGUAGCGGGUGUGAGAGCAUGACCCGCCUCACUGGGAAUGAGACACUGCCCAGACACCUACGGGUGGCUGCAGUCGAGAAUCUUCGGCAAUGGGCGCAAGCCUGACCGAGCGAUGCCGCGUGCGGGAUGAAGGCCUUCGGGUUGUAAACCGCUGUCGAGGGGGAGCAACUUCCAUAGAGUUAUCUUUAUGGAUUGAGUGAUCCCUGGAGGAAGGACGGGCUAAGUUCGUGCCAGCCGCCGCCGUAAAAC
rnacentral:rRNA from 1 species